rnacentral:rRNA from 1 species
UGAGGAACAUGACCUUCGGCGGGGGAUAGCCGGCCCAACGGCCGGGUAAUACCGCGUACGACCAUUUGGGGACAUCCCCGAGUGGUGAAAGCAGCAAUGCGCCGAUGGAGUGCCUCGCGGCCUAUCAGCUAGUUGGUGAGGUAACGGCUCACCAAGGCAACGCGGGUANCUGGUCUGAGAGGACACCAGCCACACUGGAACUGAGAUACGGUCCAGACCUCCGUACGGGAGGNACGCG